rnacentral:rRNA from 1 species
AUUGAACGCUGGCGGCAUGCCUUACACAUGCAAGUCGAACGGUAACGGGCCUUCGGGUGCCGACGAGUGGCGAACGGGUGAGUAAUACAUCGGAACGUGCCCGAUCGUGGGGGAUAACGAGGCGAAAGCUUUGCUAAUACCUCAUACGAUCUACGGAUGAAAGCAGGGGACCGCAAGGCCUUGCGCGGACGGAGCGGCCGAUGGCAGAUUAGGUAGUUGGUGGGAUAAAAGCUUACCAAGCCGACGAUCUGUAGCUGGUCUGAGAGGAUGAUCAGCCACACUGGGACUGAGACACGGCCCAGACUCCUACGGGAGGCAGCAGUGGGGAAUUUUGGACAAUGGGCGCAAGCCUGAUCCAGCCAUGCCGCGUGCAGGAUCAAGGCCUUCGGGUUGUAAACUGCUUUUGUACGGAACGAAAAGCCUUCUUUUAAUACAGGAGGGUCAUGACGGUACCGUAAGAAUAAGCACCGGCUAACUACGUG